rnacentral:misc_RNA from 1 species
CCCGCCGAAGUCGUUACCCUAACCGUUCGCGGAGGGGGGCGCCGAAGGCAGGGCUGAUGACUGGGGUGAAGUCGUAACAAGGUAGCCGUACCGGAAGGUGUGGCUGGAUCACCUCCUUUAAGGGAGACCUACGGAUGGAUGAAGGUAGAAGGGAUAGGGGACUGAACGAGAGUUUAGUUUAGUAUCACUUCAACAACAAUAUUUCUUCACCAUAUCGUCAAUCCCCGAGGUCGGUCGAGGUCGCGCAUCAUUGGCUUUCAAACUUAGUCUGGGUUUUAUAUAAGAGAAAAAGCUCAGCACGGGCUAUUAGCUCAGGUGGUUAGAGCGCACCCCUGAUAAGGGUGAGGUCCCUGGUUCAAGUCCAGGAUGGCCCAUCUUUCCAGAUAUGGGGGUUUAGCUCAGUUGGUAGAGCGCCUGCUUUGCAAGCAGGAUGUCAGCGGUUCGAGUCCGCUAAUCUCCAUUAGGGGAAAGCAAACAAGGACAAGAUAUUUACAGCCUAGGAAGGAAUCCUUUUCAAAGGGUUUAGUUUUGAAGGCAAGUAAAAACGAUUUUCUUGUGUGUUCGUACCCAAGAUGCUAGCCUAGAUAGAGUCGCUCAGCCAAAAGGCUUCUCCAAACUUAUCUAAACCACCAGUAUCAAAGCAGUAGUGACAGAGGCUGACAAGCCAAAAUCACCUAAAGGGAUCAUCUCAGCACUUUAACUUUCCAAAGAAGAGUUAAAACUGCUGGACUGAGUUCCAGCAAGAACCUUGAAAACUACAUAGCAACAAACAAGUCCAAAGAACUUUUAGUAACCUCAAGAACUAUCGAGAGGGUUAAGCUAGCCAGUUCACAGAGCGAGCCAAAAGCGAGCUUGAGUAGUGGUUAGAGAGACCUGAAAGAGAAGGGAAAGAGUUAUUAAGAGUGACUUUACAGACACCACCAAUAUUAACAGCAGACCAUGAUUAGCAUAGCGAGAGCGACUGGCUAGUCAUAGAGGUCAAGCUACAAA